AUUGAACGCUGGCGGCAUGCCUUACACAUGCAAGUCGAACGGCAGCACGGGAGCAAUCCUGGUGGCGAGUGGCGAACGGGUGAGUAAUAUAUCGGAACGUGCCCAGUCGUGGGGAUAACGUAGCGAAAGUUACGCUAAUACCGCAUACGAUCUAAGGAUGAAAGCGGGGGAUCGCAAGACCUCGCGCGAUUGGAGCGGCCGAUAUCAGAUUAGGUAGUUGGUGAGGUAAAGGCUCACCAAGCCGACGAUCUGUAGCUGGUCUGAGAGGACGACCAGCCACACUGGGACUGAGACACGGCCCAGACUCCUACGGGAGGCAGCAGUGGGGAAUUUUGGACAAUGGGCGCAAGCCUGAUCCAGCAAUGCCGCGUGCAGGAUGAAGGCCU
rnacentral:rRNA from 1 species